rnacentral:ncRNA from 1 species
UAAAAACGCUUGGGGUGCCGAAAGGCUGAGAGAAAACUAUGUUUUUAACCCAUUGAACCUGAUAUGGUUAGCACCAUCGUAGGGAAGGCAUUGAUUUUUAGGA